ACAGAUCGCAAGCUAAAUCAUCCAUCUUAGGAGGUACAGACUACAGGGGGCCGUGGCUUCCUCUUAACCGCGGCAGCUGCUGAUAAAUACUGUACUAUUAACAGUGAGGCCCGGCGUAAUUUCCUUAUUAGAGGGCUUCUUUACGUCUCUUCAUCCCAAACUGGGAAAAGCUUGCUGGCCUGCUCUAUAGUGCUGUUGCUUAAAAAGUCAUCUGUGAAGAAAACCAGAGGGAGAAAUUUCACCUGCCAAAGUGGAUAAAGAGUUCAGAUCUGCCAAGAAGACACCAAGAUGGGAUAGACAAUUGCAAGAGAUUUAUCAGGGAGGAAGUAGGAGACAACAGGGAGAGCCUUCUGAGCACAGCAAAGAUCUCAUGCCUGUGGAAGAGAGGGAAAGAAGGAGGUCUAGAU
rnacentral:lncRNA from 10 species